rnacentral:misc_RNA from 1 species
GAUGAAGAACGUAGCGAAAUGCGAUAAGUAAUGUGAAUUGCAGAAUUCAGUGAAUCAUCGAAUCUUUGAACGCACAUUGCGCCCGCCAGUAUUCUGGCGGGCAUGCCUGUUCGAGCGUCAUUUCAACCAUCAAGCCCCCGGCUUGUGUUGGGGACCUGCGGCUGCCGCAGGCCCUGAAAACCAGUGGCGGGCUCGCUAGUCACUCCGAGCGUAGUAAUACAUCUCGCUCAGGGCGUGCUGCGGGUUCCGGCCGUUAAAAAGCCUUAUUUACCCAAGGUUGACCUCGGAUCAGGUAGGAAGACCCGCUGAAAUUAAGCAUAUCAAUAAGCGGAGGA